GUGUCAAGUUUACAGCCAAAACUAACCAGAAGAAUUCUGGAGAUAAAAGGUGCUAAAUAUGCAGGUGCCCUUCUUGCAGACAGUAUCAGAUGGUGCAAGUACCACACUGCAAGAAAUAGAGAGAAAGAUUCAGAUUCAAAAUCAUGAUUGCUUCAUAAAACACUUUAGAUGGGGAGAUUUUCUCUUUUUAUAACUUCUAGAAGAGUUUAAGAUAUAUGCUAUUAUUUUUGUAACAUUUGGUAGAAUUUUCAAUAAACCAUCUGUAAAUGGUUCUCUA